rnacentral:rRNA from 1 species
UACGAAGGGUGCAAGCGUUAAUCGGAAUUACUGGGCGUAAAGGGUGCGUAGGCGGUCUGUUAAGUUGGAUGUGAAAGCCCCGGGCUCAACCUGGGAAUGGCAUCCAAAACUGGCAGGCUGGAGUGCGGUAGAGGAUGGUGGAAUUCCCGGUGUAGCGGUGAAAUGCGUAGAGAUAUGGAGGAACACCAGUGGCGAAGGCGGCUUCCUGGUCUGUAACUGACACUGAGGCGCGAAAGCGUGGGGAGCAAACAGGAUUAGAUACCCUGGUAGU